GUGAAUCAUCGAAUUUUUGAACGCAAAUUGCGCUUACUGGCAUCCCGGGGAGUAUGCCUGUUUGAGGGUCAGUAUUAAUAAAAAUGCGGUUUAUUUACAAAUUGUGACGUUUCUGGGGCUUGGGCUAUCCUAACAUUGUUGGUUAAGUGGCUUAAAAUUGACCCUAUUUGCGCAUUUUUAAACGUAGAUAAAUUUUUUUUAUUCGCUUUUUCUGAAUGUUAAAGUAUUAUAAUAUGCGACCACAUC
rnacentral:misc_RNA from 1 species